GAGUUUGAUCGUGGCUCAGGACGAACGCUGGCGGCGUGCUUAACACAUGCAAGUCGAACGAUGAACCACCUUCGGGUGGGGAUUAGUGGCGAACGGGUGAGUAACACGUGGGCAAUCUGCCCUGCACUCUGGGACAAGCCCUGGAAACGGGGUCUAAUACCGGAUACUGACCUUCACGGGCAUCCGUGAGGGUCGAAAGCUCCGGCGGUGCAGGAUGAGCCCGCGGCCUAUCAGCUUGUUGGUGAGGUAACGGCUCACCAAGGCGACGACGGGUAGCCGGCCUGAGAGGGCGACCGGCCACACUGGGACUGAGACACGGCCCAGACUCCUACGGGAGGCAGCAGUGGGGAAUAUUGCACAAUGGGCGAAAGCCUGAUGCAGCGACGCCGCGUGAGGGAUGACGGCCUCGGUUG
rnacentral:rRNA from 1 species